rnacentral:rRNA from 1 species
CCUACGGGAGGCAGCAGUUGGGAAUCUUGGACAAUGGGGGAAACCCUGAUCCAGCCAUGCCGCGUGAGUGAUGAAGGCCCUCGGGUUGUAAAACUCUUUCGACGGGACGAUAAUGACGGUACCCGUAGAAGAAGCUCCGGCUAACUUCGUGCCAGCAGCCGCGGUAAUACGAAGGGGGCUAGCGUUGUUCGGAAUUACUGGGCGUAAAGCGCGCGCAGGCGGUCUUCCAAGUCAGUGGUGAAAGCCCGGAGCUCAACUCCGGAACUGCCAUUGAAACUGUGAGACUUGAGGACGAGAGAGGUGAGUGGAAUUCCCAGUGUAGAGGUGAAAUUCGUAGAUAUUGGGAAGAACACCGGUGGCGAAGGCGGCUCACUGGCUCGUAUCUGACGCUCAGGCGCGACAGCGUGGGGAUCAAACAGGAUUAGAUACCCUGGUAGUCCACGCCGUAAACGAUGAAUGCUAGCCGUUGGGUAGCUUGCUAUCAGUGCGCNNCACNCAUANNUCNCUGGNGAGCGCGAGUAGAGACAGAAGUGNGNGNGNGAGNGCGAGCGCNCGAGGAG